AGUGAACGCUGGCGGUAGGCCUAACACAUGCAAGUCGAACGGCAGCACAGGAGAGCUUGCUCUCUGGGUGGCGAGUGGCGGACGGGUGAGGAAUACAUCGGAAUCUGCCCAGUCGUGGGGGAUAACGUAGGGAAACUUACGCUAAUACCGCAUACGACCUUCGGGUGAAUGAGGGGGCUCGCAAGACCUCUCGCGAUUGGAUGAGCCGAUGUCGGAUUAGCUAGUUGGCGGGGUAAUGGCCCACCAAGGCGACGAUCCGUAGCUGGUCUGAGAGGAUGAUCAGCCACACUGGAACUGAGACACGGUCCAGACUCCUACGGGAGGCGGCAGUGGGGAAUAUUGGACAAUGGGCGCAAGCCUGAUCCAGCCAUACCGCGUGGGUGAAGAAGGCCUUCGGGUUGUAAAGCCCUUUUGUUGGGAAAGAAAUCUUUCAGGCUAAUACCCUGGGAGGAUGACGGUACCCAAAGAAUAAGCACCGGCUAACUUCGUG
rnacentral:rRNA from 1 species